CCUACGGGAGGCAGCAGUGGGGAAUAUUGCACAAUGGGGGAAACCCUGAUGCAGCGACGCCGCGUGAGUGAAGAAGUAUUUCGGUAUGUAAAGCUCUAUCAGCAGGGAAGAAAAUGACGGUACCUGACUAAGAAGCCCCGGCUAACUACGUGCCAGCAGCCGCGGUAAUACGUAGGGGGCAAGCGUUAUCCGGAUUUACUGGGGGUAAAGGUAGCGUAGACGGCCAGACAAGUCAGAAGUGAAAGCCGAGGGCUCAACCCUGGGACUGCUUUUGAAACUGCCGGGCUGGAGUGCAGGAGAGGUAAGCGGAAUUCCUAGUGUAGCGGUGAAAUGCGUAGAUAUUAGGAGGAACACCAGUGGCGAAGGCGGCUUACUGGACUGUAACUGACGUUGAGGCUCGAAAGCGUGGGGAGCAAACAGGAUUAGAUACCCCGGUAGUC
rnacentral:rRNA from 1 species